GAAGAACAUACACUUUUAAUAUGAUGAUAAAUCAUGUGACUUUAUCAUACAUAGUUCUAAGCCUGUCUGCAUUGCUGAGAACACUUCGGGGGGCGCGGAUUGGAUGAAAAACAGAGAGCAUCAGUUGACCACCUGACCUGCAGCUUGACCUAUGGGCUUCUGGCUCAGCCCCCCUUUAUAAGAGAUGCAGCCAUUCCAAUCACUCUCUUAUACCACAGCUCUUAGAUCCUGAGGAACAGAAAAGCACAGACAUCACAGAUCCUGUGUCCAGUACACCUGGAGGCCAUAAAGCCUGCACACCAAUCACAUUGUCAGAGGGCAGAAAGUUCUGUGAAGAGUGAAGAAGCAAGAAAAUAUGCAACUCUUAAGUCCAAGUGUCCAAUUUGAUGGCUGAAGAGAUCUUGUUUUGAGAAUAAAUUUAUUCUAUCAAUUGAUACUGGAGAUAAAGGCAAAACUGCUUCACAUUCAUCUCAGGGGCAUAGGCUUUGUGAUAAAUUAUCGCUUUUUACUAAAUAUGUUAAACACUU